rnacentral:rRNA from 1 species
GACAGAGGGUGCAAACGUUGCUCGGAAUCAUUGGGCGUAAAGCGCACGUAGGCGGCUUGGCAAGUCGGAUGUGAAAGCCCUCGGCUCAACCAAGGAAGUGCAUCCGAAACUGCUGAGCUUGAGUACUUAAGAGGAUCGCGGAAUUCCCGGUGUAGAGGUGAAAUUCGUAGAUAUCGGGAGGAACACCAGUGGCGAAGGCGGCGAUCUGGGAAGAUACUGACGCUGAGGUGCGAAAGCGUGGGGAGCAAACAGG